GUUACAGGUUCAGGACCGUCUCUAGCUGCUGUAGCAGGAAUAUGUGCUGCUGUAGUUAUUCUGCUCGUGGCUGCAGCUGCUGGUCUUAAGCAAAAGAAAGGAAGGGGGGCGGAGCCAAAUCAAAUUCAGACGAAUACUGUGAGAUACUCAACUGUUAGUCAGAACGGGGCUGCUACUAAUGGCUCGUCCUAUAAACAGACUGAGACUGCCACUGAAACACCAGUGUAACAUUAUUUAUGUUUAUCAAAGCUAUUAUAGUGACCAAGAGCAGUGAACAAAUAGUUUUUUGUGAUUUGCACCAUAAUGCUUUUUGCACUGAUGUCCUUAACGUGUCAGUUAUUUUGUUCCAUCUGUUUACAUCGUCUUUAACUGACUGUUUACAUGAAUACCUCGCCAUGACGGCUAUCAUGGCAAGGAAAUGUAUUUGACUGCACAAGUACUCGUACUGUAAGACACAAGUGCACUUCACAUACUAUAGUUGCCAUUACUGGUUACGUUAUUUUGCUAUUGACAUCUCGCUGCUUCUACAUAAUUGUAGUGUGAAACACUGUGAUUUUAGAUUGUUACAGUUAGUUGGUUAGCAAUCACGUACCUCAUGUUCUCAUGCUUUGGAUAAUUAGGGAAUCUCAAAAAUUAUCACAAAUUUUCAUCUUGCCUGAAAUAGUGUAUUGAUAUUUCAUGAAGUGCUGUUUAGAUAGACUUACUGCCAAAAGCUUGAAUUUCAUGUGAGGAUUUUCUUUUCCAUCUAUCUCUCAGUUCUGUUCAUGGAUGGCUUGUGUGAUUUUUUUUUUUUUAAUAUCAUCUAAUUGUAUUUAUUGUGUGUUUUAUAUAAUAGCAAUGCAGACCUACCUGCCAGGCUAUGCAUUUUGAUCUCAAAGUACACUGGUACGAUUUGUCACACUAAACUAUGCAAAAAUUUAGUGAUGCCUCUGUCCACAA